ensembl:lncRNA
AUGAGCGGGACGGCAUGCGAGGAGGCUUACAGGCCCCCGGGGGCUCAAAGGGCUUCCAGGAAGAGCGGCCCACGCCUGGGCAGAACUUCCCCAACCGCUUUGAAAGCCGCCCUGGGACCGCGGCUGCGGCAGCAGGAGCGGCUGCAGCCGCUGGAGUUUCGGGCAGCGCCGCCGGGGCUGCUGGGGGGGCCACAAGCCUGGAACCGCAGCGGUGGUGCCGUUGCAGCUUUCGACAGCGAACUUCAUCAAGACCUCGAUGAGCGGAGACGCCCGUGGGACAGGCAAAGGGACAGAGACGAAAGAGAUUUUGACUUCAGGCGGGACAUGAACGGCAACAACCGCCACAGCAGAGAGCGGGAGAGAGAGCGGGAGCGCGAAAGAGACCGAGACCGAGAGCGGGACAGGGACAGGGAGCGGGGCAGAGACCGCACCAGAGAGCACGAGCGCGACAGAGAGCGCGACAAGGAGAGGGACCGCGAGCGGGAGCGCGGGGGCUGGACACCUCUCCUCCCUCUGCCGACGCCUCUGCUUCCCACUCCGCCCCUUAAUCCCAAUCUGACCCUGAACCAAGGCAAACUGCUCGCGCCGCUCAAAUUGAACCCCCAGCUUCAGUCCCGAUUCCAGUCCCCGCUCCUGCCCCAAGCUCAGGCGAAGCCGCCUCCCUCCGGUCCGAAUCAGCCGCCGGCCCAAGCUCAGACCAAGUCUCCGCCUCCAUCGCAGAGCCAAGCCGCUGUGCCCGAGCACCGGUCGGAGACGCCAGCUCCGCCCGAAACGUGCGGGGCGCAGUCACCGGACGAGUCGCCUGGCAAAGCUCAAAGCCCGUCAACGCCCCGCGCUCCCGACCGGGCCGAGUCCUCGCCGCAGCCCGAGACCCCUCCCCGAAUCGACUCCCCAUCCCAGCCCGGGACUCAGUCCCCGGCCCAGUCCAAAGCCAGUGCUUCUCCGGACACUGAGACCCCGAGCCAGGCCUCGCCGCUGGUCGAGGCCUCGUCCCAAGACUCACCUGUGGCCUUCGCGCAAGCUGCCAGCCCCCCCGAAGAGACUCCCUCUCUGGGGGAGCGGGACGAGGAGGAGGAAGAGGAGGAGGAGGAGGAGGAGGAGGAGGAGUCGUUGUCGCCGCCGCUGCAAGGGAGAGCCUCCUCGCCCCAAACCCGGUGGGUCAACGGAGCCGGGAUGGACAAUAGCGCCGCGGCCGAAUCCACGCCCGAGAGCUCCGCCGAGAGCUCCCCCCGGCGCUGUCCCGAGCCCCCCGGAGAAGCCUCCCCCGGUUCCGCUCCCCCCGACAGCGAACCGGAGCCGCUCGCCUCCCCUGAGGACGUAGACAAUGAACCGAGCGAGCCGGCGGAGGACGCUGCGAGUCAGCCAGUGGUAGACACUGUCACAGACACUGAGGGGACAUAA